rnacentral:rRNA from 1 species
UGCGUGGGAAUUUGCCUUGGGGUGGGGAUAACCGCUGGAAACGGCGGCUAAUACCGCAUACGCCCUCGCGGGGAAGGAUUUAUCGCCCUCGGGAGGAGCCCGCGUUGGAUUAGCUUGUUGGUGGGGUAAGUGGCCCACCAAGGCGACGAUCCAUAGCUGGUCUGAGAGGAUGAUCAGCCACACUGGGACUGAGACACGGCCCAGACUCCUACGGGAGGCAGCAGUGGGGAAUAUUGGACAAUGGGCGAAAGCCUGAUCCAGCCAUGCCGCGUGAGUGAAGAAGGCCUUAGGGUUGUAAAG